rnacentral:lncRNA from 1 species
CUUUGCUUACAAUGAGAGGGGCAUUGCUGCCCCAGUUCCCACCUUCCAAACCAUACACUCAAGGACUGUGUGUAGAGCAGUCACUAGAGAAGACUGAGACAAAAAAGCUGUUGAACACCUUAGCCUUCUCCUUUGCCCAUUGUUACCAGCCUGCCUGUGUUGCUCACCAAGGAGGGUACACCACCCUGAACUCUCCUUUUCUGGUUGAUAUACCUGUAGGAGCCUUUCUUAUCUUCUCUGCACCCUUUGCCAAGUCCAGUUCCAGUCAGGCCUUGACCUUCCUGACCCCACCCCUACACAGCCUAGCAGCAUCCCUAUACUUCUCCCAGUUUACCUGUUUCUGCUUCCACUGCCCAUGCAUUUUCUUCUUGCUCCCCAGUUUGGCCAGCAGAUCCCAGUUCAGCCGUGCAAGUCUCUUCCCUUCCUUUCCUGACUUCCUACACCUGAGGAUGGAGAGAUCUUGUACCCUAAGGAAAGCUUCCUCAGGGAUCUGCCAGCUCUGCUUUGCUCCCUUGUCCUUGAGGACAGAUUCCCAGAGGGUUUUGUUGACUAACUCCCUGAAGAGCUGGAAUUUGGCUUUCCUAAAAUUAAGCUUCCUGAUUUUACUCUUCGCCUGUCUGAUAUCCCUCAAGAGUGUGAACUCCACCACUCCAUGGUCAAUGCAGCCUAGGCAGCCUUCAAUCCUGAUGUCACCAGUUAGUUCACUCACACUGGUGAGCAGCAGGUCAGCACUGCAUCCUCCCUGGUGGGCUGUCUACUACCUGGCUCCAGAAGUUAUCUUUGAUAUAUUCCAGGAGCCUCCUGGAUCACCUACAUCUCACCAUGCUACUUUUCCAGCAGAUGUCGGGGUGGUUGAAGCUCCCCCUAGCAGAAGAGAGCCUACAAUUGCAACACCUCCUAUAGCUGGAGGAAGGCUUCAUCAAUAGGUUCUGCUUCAUCAUGCGGCCUGAAAUAGGCACCAACCACAAGGUUCCCUUUGUCGCCUCAGUCUCUAACUCUCACUCACAGGCUUUUGAC